UACGGAGGGGGGCUAGCGUUGUUCGGAAUUACUGGGCGUAAAGCGCGCGUAGGCGGCUUUUGUAAGUUAGAGGUGAAAGCCCCGGAGCUCAACUCCGGAACUGCCUUUAAGACUGCAUCGCUAGAAUUGUGGAGAGGUGAGUGGAAUUCCGAGUGUAGAGGUGAAAUUCGUAGAUAUUCGGAAGAACACCAGUGGCGAAGGCGACUCACUGGACACAUAUUGACGCUGAGGUGCGAAAGCGUGGGGAGCAAACAGG
rnacentral:rRNA from 1 species